rnacentral:lncRNA from 1 species
ACAGAAGUGACCAAAACAUAUUUUGAUGUAUCUUUGUGGUCACUUCUGUUACUCAAGAGUGUAUAGACUUAUUAUUUUUCUACUCAUGUCUUCUAAACACAACUGAAUACCGAGGAAAUUAUUAAAUGGAUUUUUUUUAAAACUCUGAAAGCCAGCAGAUUGUCUUGGACCUCAGGAAUUGAAGAAGUACAAUGUGGUGAAUUUUCUGGGUUUUGUUUUUCUUUUUGAAUAUCCCAGGACUGGAAAGUGCAACACCAAAUCACUGAUAGUCCUAAGCAAAAGAACAACAACAAUGAAAUAACAACAAAAAACUCAAAUAAGAAUAGUCUAUUCUUUCUGGCUUUAUAAAGGAUCUAGAAAGCGGAAGCCCAACAGAGACCCAGCAGAGAAUCCCAGUUCUGACUCAACUGGAAACCUGAAGCAGUGUCAGGUAAAAAUUUGGUCAAUGUUGAUGAUCUUAUUCAUUAGUAUAAGAAUUUCAAACUAUAUUAAAAAAUAGAAAAAGAGAGAUUUCUUUCUAACCCAUCCUACGAGAACAAUGUUACUCUGAUUCCAAAACACAAGAAAGACAAGGACACAAGCAAAACAAAACUACAGGCUAAUAUCCCUGGUGAACAUAACAACAAGAACAACAACAAUAAACUAGUAAAUCAAAUUCAACAGCACAUUAAAAUGGUUAUUGGAAAUGAUGAAGAUUUAUCACAAAAAUGCAAGAAUUAUUCAAUAUACACAAAGUAAUAAAUGUGAUAAACCAUAUUAACAGAGUGAAGG